rnacentral:rRNA from 1 species
GACGAACGCUGGCGGCAUGCCUAACACAUGCAAGUCGAGCGAGCAGAUCCCUUCGGGGUGAAGUUAGCGGCGGACGGGUGAGUAACACGUGGGCAACCUGCCUCAUAGAGGGGAAUAGCCUUCCGAAAGGCAGAUUAAUACCGCAUAAGAUUGUAGCUUCGCAUGAAGCAGCAAUUAAAGGAGCAAUCCGCUAUGAGUUGGGCCCGCGGCGCAUUAGCUAGUUGGUGAGGUAACGGCUAACCAAGGCGACGAUGCGUAGCCGACCUUGGAGGGUGAUCGGCCACAUUGGGACUGAGACACGGCCCAGACUCCUACGGGAGGCAGCAGUGGGGAAUAUUGCACAAUGGGGGAAACCCUGAUGCAGCAAUGCCGCGUGAGUGAUGACGGCCUUCGGGUUGUAAAGCUCUGUCUUCGGGGACGAUAAUGACGGUACCCGAGGAGGAAGCCACGGCUAACUACGUGCCAGCCGCCGCCGUAA